rnacentral:lncRNA from 1 species
CGGGGGUCAACGUACCUGAUCAGGGCUGUCGUAGACUGUUGACUAGUCCCCGUGUCCCGUAGGGACAUUCUGACCGUAACUCCGCGUGGCGGCGUUGUCAGAGAGGCGUGGCCUCGGGAUCCGCCGCUGGCGGAAGUCCCCCCGCUAGAUGUAGCAGGAAGCAGCGUCAAGUAGACGUGCCUGGUAUUUUAUUGAGCGGUGUUGCGCUGAAUAAAGUACGCAGCUUGUCAGAUGAGAAAUGGGGUCAGCCAGCGGUGCGCUGUGUAGCGGAGGACGCCCCGUUUACCAAAUGAGGAGAGAAGCUCCGCCGGCGGGGUUUCGCUCAGCGGAGACUCCGUCACUUGGGAGAUGCAAGUGAGGACUCGCUGGCGGGGUUUCGCUCAGCGGAGACUCCGUCACUUGGGAGAUGCAAGUGAGGAUCCGCUGGCGGGGUUUCGCUCAGCGGAGACUCCGUCACUUGGAAGAUGACAAGUGAGGAUCCGCUGGCGGGGUUUCGCUCAGCGGAGACUCCGUCACUUGGGAGAUGUAAGUGAGGAUCCGCUGGCGGGGUUUCGCUCAGCGGAGGCUCCGUCACCAGGGAGAUGACAAGUGAGGAUCCGCUGGCGGGGUUUCGCUCAGCGGAGACUCCGUCACUUGGGAGAUGCAAGUGAGGAUCCUCUGGCGGGGUUUCGCUCAGCGGAGACUCCGUCACUUGGAAGAUGCAAGUGAGGAUCCGCUGGCGGGGUUUCGCUCAGUGGAGACUCCGUCACUUGGAAGAUGACAAGUGAGGAUCCGCUGGCGGGGUUUCGCUCAGCGGAGACUCCGUCACUUGGGAGAUGUAAGUGAGGAUCCGCUGGCGGGGUUUCGCUCAGCGGAGGCUCCGUCACUAGGGAGAUGACAAGUGAAGAUCCGCUGGCGGGGUUUCGCUCAGCGGAGACUCCGUCACUUGGAAGAUGACAAGUGAGGAUCCGCUGGCGGGGUUUCGCUCAGCGGAGACUUGCCAUGGUUGGGGGGUUUACUUGUCAGGUGGUGACUUCCCUUGGAAGCCAAAGAAUGAUGACGGUUGACACGUGGCUAACUCUGAGAGGGUUAGCGUCUGGAGGCUUGCCUCCUAAGCCUAGCCGUCUUCUCGUCAUUAAUGCGAGUAAUGAUGGAUUUCGUAACCGAGGCGACGCCUCGGUUAAUCCAGGGAGUUAAUGAAGACGUGGGACACGUGUACGGUUGGUACGUGAUGUAGUUUUGUAGCGGACGGC